rnacentral:rRNA from 1 species
GUAGGUGGCAAGCGUUGUCCGGAAUUAUUGGGCGUAAAGCGCGCGCAGGCGGUCCUUUAAGUCUGAUGUGAAAGCCCACGGCUCAACCGUGGAGGGUCAUUGGAAACUGGGGGACUUGAGUACAGAAGAGGAAAGCGGAAUUCCAAGUGUAGCGGUGAAAUGCGUAGAGAUUUGGAGGAACACCAGUGGCGAAGGCGGCUUUCUGGUCUGUAACUGACGCUGAGGCGCGAAAGCGUGGGGAGCAAACAGGGAUUAGAUACCCUGGUAGUCCACGCCGUAAACGAUGAGUGCUAAGUGUUAGGGGGUUUCCCGCCCCCUUAGUGCUGCAGCUAACGCAUUAAGCACUCCGCCUGGGGAUACGGCCGCAAGGCUG